rnacentral:rRNA from 1 species
GAGUUUGAUCUUGGCUCAGAUUGAACGCUGGCGGCAUGCCUUACACAUGCAAGUCGAACGGCAGCACGGGAGCUUGCUCCUGGUGGCGAGUGGCGAACGGGUGAGUAAUGCAUCGGAACGUAUCCUGGAGUGGGGGAUAACGUAGCGAAAGUUACGCUAAUACCGCAUAUUCUGUGAGCAGGAAAGCGGGGGACCUUCGGGCCUCGCGCUCUUGGAGCGGCCGAUGUCGGAUUAGCUAGUUGGUGAGGUAAAGGCUCACCAAGGCGACGAUCCGUAGCAGGUCUGAGAGGAUGAUCUGCCACACUGGAACUGAGACACGGUCCAGACUCCUACGGGAGGCAGCAGUGGGGAAUUUUGGACAAUGGGGGCAACCCUGAUCCAGCCAUGCCGCGUGAGUGAAGAAGGCCUCGGUGUAAGACUACUUCGUCGAGGAGAA